GGACGAACGCUGGCGGCGGUGCUUAACACAUGCAAGUCGAGCGGUAAGGCCCUUUCGGGGGUACACGAGCGGCGAACGGGUGAGUAACACGUGGGUGACCUGCCCUCAGCUCUGGGAUAAGCCUGGGAAACUGGGUCUAAUACUGGAUAUGACGCCACGGUGCAUGUCGUGGGGUGGAAAGCCUUGUGCGGCUGAGGAUGGGCCCGCGGCCUAUCAGCUUGUUGGUGGGGUGAGGCCUACCAAGGCGACGACGGGUAGCCGGCCUGAGAGGGCGACCGGCCACA
rnacentral:rRNA from 1 species